GGGGAUGUAGCUCAGAGGUAUAGCACUUGCCUAAUAUGUGAGACCUGGGUUCAACUCCCAUAUUUCUA
rnacentral:tRNA from 1 species